rnacentral:SRP_RNA from 1 species
GCCAGGUGUGGUGGUGCAUGCCUGUAGUCCCAGCUACUUGGGAGGCUGAGGCAGGAGAAUCGCUUGAACCCAGGAGGCAGAGGUUGCAGUGAGCCAAGAUUGCACCAUUGCACUCCAGCCUGGGUGACAGAGCGAGACUCUGUCUCAA